rnacentral:rRNA from 1 species
ACGGGAGGCAGCAGUGGGGGAUAUUGCACAAUGGGGGAAACCCUGAUGCAGCGACGCCGCGUGAGUGAUGAAGUAUUUCGGUAUGUAAAGCUCUAUCAGCAGGGAAGAAAAUGACGGUACCUGACUAAGAAGCCCCGGCUAACUACGUGCCAGCAGCCGCGGUAAUACGUAGGGGGCAAGCGUUAUCCGGAUUUACUGGGUGUAAAGGGAGCGUAGACGGCAAGGUAAGUCUGAUGUGAAAGCUAUGGGCUCAACCCAUAAACUGCAUUGGAAACUAUCUGGCUAGAGUGUCGGAGAGGUAAGUGGAAUUCCUAGUGUAGCGGUGAAAUGCGUAGAUAUUAGGAGGAACACCAGUGGCGAAGGCGGCUUACUGGACGAUAACUGACGUUGAGGCUCGAAAGCGUGGGGAGCAAACAGGAUUAGAUACCCUGGUA